rnacentral:rRNA from 1 species
CGGAUUGCAGCCUGCAACUCGGCUGCAUGAAGCUGGAAUCGCUAGUAAUCGCGGAUCAGAAUGCCGCGGUGAAUACGUUCCCGGGUCUUGUACACACCGCCCGUCACACCAUGGGAGCCGGGAAUGCCCGAAGUCAGUGGCCCAACCGCAGGGAGGGAGCUGCCGAAGGCAGGCCCGGUGACUGGGGUGAAGUCGUAACAAGGUAUC